rnacentral:rRNA from 1 species
AACGAACGCUGGCGGCAUGCCUAACACAUGCAAGUCGAACGGAACCUUCGGGAUUAGUGGCGGACGGGUGAGUAACACGUGGGAACGUGCCCUUUGGUUCGGAACAACUCAGGGAAACUUGUGCUAAUACCGGAUGUUCUCUUCGGGGGAAAGAUUUAUCGCCAUUGGAUCGGCCCGCGUCUGAUUAGCUAGUUGGUGAGGUAACGGCCUACCAAGGCGACGAUCAGUAGCUGGUCUGAGAGGAUGAUCAGCCACACUGGGACUGAGACACGGCCCAGACUCCUACGGGAGGCAGCAGUGGGGAAUCUUGCACAAUGGGCGAAAGCCUGACGCAGCCAUGCCGCGUGAAUGAUGAAGGUCUUAGGAUUGUAAAGUUCUUUCAGCGGGGACGAUAAUGACGGUACCCGCAGAAGAAGCUCCGGCUAACUCCGUG